CGACUCCCAGGCCCCGGCGUUCGGGGCAGCCCUUCCCCCGCGCUGGGACCCAGGCUCCUGCUGAAUUCGCGGUGGACGGUGGACGCAGCCCAGGACUCUCGGGAGGAGCAAUGCCGGCGAUGGGGACACGGCCACGGCCACGAGUGGCUGCUUCACACGUACAACCCGUGCCCAGGGAUGGCCCCAACUCUGUGCUAGCUGGACGGAGACACUGACCCCCACCCUCGUCCACCUGGGCAGCGCUGGAAGGUGGAGAGGAAGUGGAGAGCCCGCCCGAACCGGAGGAGUGCGGACGGGAGCCAGGCGCCCGCGAGCGUCUCGCCUCGUACCUAACUCACAGCCCGAGCCCCGCAUGCGCUCCGUGGGCCCUGUCUCCGGGUCUGCUGCU